GGGGAAUAUUGGACAAUGGGCGCAAGCCUGAUCCAGCCAUGCCGCGUGAGUGAUGAAGGCCCUAGGGUUGUAAGGCUCUUUCACCGGUGAAGAUAAUGACGGUAACCGGAGAAGAAGCCCCGGCUAACUUCGUGCCAGCAGCCGCGGUAAUACGAAGGGGGCUAGCGUUGUCCGGAAUUACUGGGCGUAAAGCGCACGUAGGCGGAUCGAUCAGUUAGGGGUGAAAUCCCGGGGCUCAACCCCGGAACUGCCUCUAAUACUGUCGAUCUGGAGUUCGAGAGAGGUGAGUGGAAUGCCGAGUGUAGAGGUGAAAUUCGUAGAUAUUCGGAGGAACACCAGUGGCGAAGGCGGCUCACUGGCUCGAUACUGACGCUGAGGUGCGAAAGCGUGGGGAGCAAACA
rnacentral:rRNA from 1 species